rnacentral:misc_RNA from 1 species
CAGUCGUAACAAGGUUUCCGUAGGUGAACCUGCGGAAGGAUCAUUAAAGUGUUUCGGAGCCUGGCUCGGGCACCUCAACUCGAGGUGUCGGUGCCAGCGCCCCCACACGUGUUUACUCAACUUGGUUGCCUUGGUGAGCCUGCCCUUGUGGCUGCCGGGGAUGCCUCACGGUGUCCUGGGCUCGUGCUCACCAGUGGAACAUUUGAACUCUUAUGUGAAAAUAGUCAGUCUGAGCAUUAUGCAAAUUAAAUAAAACUUUCAACAACGGAUCUCUUGGUUCCG